UUGCUAUAUCACGCAUCACAGCAUAAUGUACCAUUGCCCACAAUUGGACUAAAAGCAACAAUCUGCCCCAGCAUGGACUGGAACCUUCAAAACUAGAUAAGCGACUUCUCCGAACUUCCUCCUGCUGAGCACAUAACCAACGCCCAGAAGUGACAGGACAUGCAGGUGCUGAUGCCAGGUGGCCACAGAAAGAGGAAGAAUGAGCUGAAGAUGGCUGGAUGUGAUACAGCAAGUAUGGAGAGAUAUAAGACCUCCUUUGAUUUGGUCGGAGGCAAGCAGAUGAACCUGAGCGGCCAGUAACAGCAAGAUGUAACAG